ACGCAUUGAAAUAACAUGUUUAUUUUCUAAUCACAAGUAACAACCAAUGUAUACCUUUCAAGCUACGUAGGUCCAGCCGGCAACAUAAUAAAUAAAAACAUCAUAUCAUCGAACAAGAAAAAAUAUAUUGUGGAAACAAACAAAACUUUGCAGGCCAAUACGAGGAUUAAUAACUCUUGACGAUCUCCAUCCAUCACCAGACAGGCAGAGACCACCCACCACACCAUUUUCAUACGCUAUGCAGUUGAUUGGCAUUAAUCAACAAAAUGCAAUCUGAGAACAACUAAUCAUGAAUUUGCAUUAAUGUCAUUGGAUCGCAAGGCAGUGAAGUGUUGCGAUGCAAGCAUGGAUCGAAAUGGUGGGAGAUCGAUCGUAAUCAUCGAAUCACCUCAGCGUGGUCAGCUUCCAGCUGCGGCCCCUGUCCAGCGGCUCGCUGCUGCCGGUAACGUCGUCCUCACGGUCCAUUGUGACGGUGGUGUCCUCGCUGGCGGCGUCCGCCACCGGCACGAUCUCCCUGUUCCGCCGCUCGCCGCCGAACUUGAGCAUCUCGACAACCUCGGCCAUGGUCGGCCUGCCCUCCGCGUUGCUCUGCGAGCACAGCAUGGCCGUCUCGACCACGGCGCNN
rnacentral:lncRNA from 1 species